AGUAGAGGCGAAGUGGAACAUUUGUUCGGGGGAUGUUUCUUCCGGGUUGGGUUUGGGCGGACUUCCUGUUUGCCUCAGACGCAAUCUGGGUCCUAAAGACAGGGCAGUGGUCACCAUUGCUGAAUCCUGUUUUACUGUUCUCCUGGUGAAGGAUGGUACUGAGCUGAAGUCAAUACUUGUGAGAAAAGGAAACAAGGUUUAUGACAAAAAGGGGAGAAGUGACUCAUAGAACUUGUCAUUCCUGACUUUGCCUAGCAUGGAAGAUAAGAUGGUGGUCAAAACAAAGGCUGUGAUCCUCCAGGAGGAGGAAUGUCGGCUGGAGUCCAUGUGGAAGGCAAGAUCGACAAUAGAGGCUGGUGAAGAAAUCUAAGACGGCAGGAAGUGAGAAGAAGGUGCCAGGUGAGGCUGAGGAGGAGCACUCUGAGCUGCUGAUGAAUGAAGAAAAUGAGUGCGAUAGAAGGAGGCUGAAGGAAGAAACCCCUACUUGUCAAAAUGAGGAGAAAAAUGUAAAAAAAAACGAAGCAGAUGAAGAUGUGAGAGGAAAGAAAGAAGAGGUGAGGUGAAGGUGUUAGGUUUUCACAAAGUUUCUUCUGACAUUAUUAUAUAUUUAAUGUUUUGAUCUUCCACAAUAGUCUGUUCACCAACAUGCCGUUAAAAAAGUCACUUUUCACUGUGAUGGAUUCAAGCUUUUAGUUUCUGCAGCAGAUUUUUCCAACAACCUCAAACAUUACUGGUAUCAAAGCCUUGAAAAUGUUUAAACACACCUUGAAUUUUUUCACUUUUUAUCUCAGAGAGGAUUCAGUAAGGUAUCAUGUAAAACAUUGUAAGUACACUGACGUUUGUGUUUGUAAUGAGUAAGAUUUUUUUUUACUUCCAAUACCGAUAUCUAAGAUUAAGUAUCAACUGGUACCGAUUCAAUAAAAAAAAAGUGUUGAA